UCUGAGUCCAUUCCACCUCUGAUUUGGGGCAUGAUUUGACAUAAGAUAUUGUUGUAUAAGACUCCGAGCAGGAAGAUGCCUCUAUUAUCGCAAUCUAUGAGGAGACGGCAUUGUUUGCUGCUCUGGUUACAUAUGGAACACAAAAGCAAAGGAAUGUCAAGGUUGUGGUCCAGGGUUUUUUGGUAUCAACUGCUCGGAGAAAUGUCCUUACCCUCACUAUGGGGAUAGGUGUAGAUAUCGCUGUCACUGUCCACAAGAAAUCUGUAAUAACACCAAUGGGUGCUGGAAAGGAUCAUCAACACUACAUGGAGAAGUAUUGAAAUAUUCUGUGAAAACUACCAUAACCUUAAGAGAAAAACAAACACAAGAGCUUACUGUUUUUAACAAGGAUGUUGCAACAGUAACAUACAUGUACAUGGAACGAUUCAACAAAAGUGCAUUUGCCAAAACAAAAAGAGAAGAGUGUCUUCACGGCGAGCUCUUGAUUGCAACAUGUACCCUUUGCUGUAUUGUGGUUAUUUAUAUAAUGAUCAGGGUGAUUAUCACUGCAUACCAGAAAGCAAAGAAUACAAAGAAAAAAAAAAAGCAUCAAUUUGACACAAGAUUGUUUUGAGAAGCAUAAUGAAUUGGAAGAAUUGAAAUUAGUUAACUUUACUAACCCAGAAAAAGAAACCCCUUAUUAUGAUGGUCCUGCUGAUGCAAAGAUUACUUAUGAUACAACACUACAUAAAUAUGUUGUAGAGAUGACCACAAUUUCAAUUCCAAAAGGAUGCUUUAAAGAGCCAAGUCCAACGCGAUCUGAAAAUCUACAAUCUGUAAAUGUACAUGGAUCGAGGGAGGACGCUUCCUUCGGAAUCGGUUACAUUCAACCCAAAAAUCUAGUUACUCAGGAGCCUUUCACUUUUUUAAGUGAACCACAGAAUACACAAGACGUAAAAGAACAUAAUGUGGAUUUCCCUCAGAAAAGCUCAUAUCUGACUGUUGUUCGAGAUAAAUAACAAAUGAUCGGCUGUAAUCUUUGUAUCUUUCUAUCUAUUGCUAUAUAUAGUUCUCAAUUUGAAAUGUUUAAAAUCUCCUUAGAAUUCCUCACUUAAAAAUUCAUUUUACAUUGCAUUAGUUUUAAAUUCGUUAGGCACUAUCUGUUCUGAAGUGACUUUUUAAAAAUUAACGUAUACUUAUCAGAACAUCUAUUUUUAUACCCCCCGCUUGAAAAGCGGGAGGGUAUAUAGCAAUCGGUAUGUCCGUCCGUCUAGCUGUCCGUCCAUCCGUCUGUUACGCUUUGGGGUACCCAUCUCUUAUCCGCAACUCCUCUCAUACCACUGAAUGAAAUUUGAUGAAACGUUCACAGAAUCUUUAUUGCAUAAAUCCAUUGAGCACCUCCUAUUCUACUUUUUUUUAUCGGACACAUAUUUUUGGGUUUCCCACAGCAAAAUAUGGACACUGCCAUUAUAUUCAUAUGGGAGGCGUGGGGUAUCAUUUAGUGAGCUCAUUGCUCACAGUACUUCUAGUUAUUUAAAGUUUGUUUUCUUAUUCUAAAUAAACUAUACCUAGAUCCUUCACUGCAAUGUCUUUAAAUGAAAAAAAAAAAUUCAAAAUUAAAAUAAAAAAUUAGAAACCUUUUUAUUAAUGAUUCCCUUCAAAUGUAGUAUAAAAGUAAUCUGCAACGGUUUGAGAACGUUUAUUGUGAAACCAUUAAACCUAUAUUUGUUAACAGAGUGGAAUAGCUUAGCUAAUUUAUGUUUUUUUUAACUCCAUUCUAACAAAAAGAAAUGAAUAAAAUCAACUUGAGAUGCGUUGUAAUAGUAAAGAAUCGCUCUAGCAGCUGCAGUUUAUAAUUUUGGCUGUUUUGUUGAAAUGAGAUGAAAAAAGACA